UACGUAGGGGGCUAGCGUUGUCCGGAAUCAUUGGGCGUAAAGAGCGUGUAGGCGGCCCGGUAAGUCCGCUGUGAAAGUCGGGGGCUCAACCCUCGAAUGCCGGUGGAUACUGUCGGGCUAGAGUGCGGAAGAGGCGAGUGGAAUUCCUGGUGUAGCGGUGAAAUGCGCAGAUAUUGGGAGGAACACCAGUGGCGAAGGCGGCUCACUGGACCGGUACUGACGCUGAUGCGCGAAAGCGUGGGGAGCAAACGGG
rnacentral:rRNA from 1 species